GGUUAAUAAUAACUAGAACUUCUAAAUUAGCUGAUGGGAGCUACCGGACGCUUCUUGCAUGGUACUUUAUGUAUUUCAUGGUAGAUCUCUCUGUUCACAGCACCUAAUUUUCUAGUUAAAAAUAAAUUAUGAACAGCAAAGAAAGACAUGAAGCUAGAUAU
rnacentral:sRNA from 12 species